rnacentral:lncRNA from 1 species
CUUGAGAGCUGAGAGUAGGUGGGAAGCAGCUCAUGAUUGGAAGUGAUAUUGGUGGAAGACAACAUUUUGCCGCUUGGAAUUCUCACCUCCACACCAAAGAAGUACUGUUUUUGUCAUUUGCACCAGCUUCUUUCUCCAGGAAAGAUCAAAACGAUGCACUGCAAGGUGUGGUUGGUCCAGAUAGCUGCCUUAUCCAACUGCCUCCUUUGGACCACUUCAUCAUGGGACAGCUUGAUGCAAUCUACUUGACAAGACCCUGGAACCCCACACCCCUCAUGGAACCAGUGUCCACCUCCCAGUCACAGUGUGACCCCAGGGAACUCUUGCCUGCUUGCUUUAAACCCACCACUUAAAAGUCUCCACAGAAAACCUGUUUGAAUAGUACCUUUGACCCAAUAAGGGCAUUGGCCCAUGGGUGUCUCUCUCUCUCUCUCUCCCUCUCUCUCUCUCUCGCUCCCUGACCUCUGCGUGUGGACUCCAGGCAUGCCAUAUACCCCUCAGGACCUGAAGCAAGAGAAUGAAUUAAAGAAAACUCCAGAGAAUGAGCUGACAACCUACUCCCUGGUCACUGGCUCUCCAUGCCUACCUGUGGUCUCUUGGACA